rnacentral:rRNA from 1 species
UACGAAGGGGGCUAGCGUUGCUCGGAAUCACUGGGCGUAAAGCGCGCGUAGGCGGCUUUGUAAGUUAGAGGUGAAAGCCCGGGGCUCAACUCCGGAAUUGCCUUUAAGACUGCAUCGCUAGAAUUGUGGAGAGGUAAGUGGAAUUCCGAGUGUAGAGGUGAAAUUCGUAGAUAUUCGGAAGAACACCAGUGGCGAAGGCGACUUACUGGACACAUAUUGACGCUGAGGUGCGAAAGCGUGGGGAGCAAACAGG